UACAGAGGUCUCAAGCGUUGUUCGGAUUUAUUGGGCGUAAAGGGCGCGUAGGCGGCGGGGUAAGUCGGAUGUGAAAUCUCAGGGCUCAACCCUGAAACUGCACUUGAUACUGCUCUGCUUGAGGACUGGAGAGGAGACUGGAAUUCACGGUGUAGCAGUGAAAUGCGUAGAUAUCGUGAGGAAGACCAGUGGCGAAGGCGGGUCUCUGGACAGUUCCUGACGCUGAGGCGCGAAGGCCAGGGGAGCAAACGGG
rnacentral:rRNA from 1 species